GUGAGGAAUAUUGGUCAAUGGGCGCAAGCCUGAACCAGCCAUGCCGCGUGCAGGAAGACGGUCCUAUGGAUUGUAAACUGCUUCUAUUUGGGAAUAAACUCCGGUACGUGUACCGGCCUGAAGGUACCAAAUGAAUAAGCACCGGCUAACUCCGUGCCAGCAGCCGCGGUAAUACGGAGGGUGCAAGCGUUAUCCGGAAUCAUUGGGUUUAAAGGGUCCGCAGGCGGUCUUAUAAGUCAGUGGUGAAAGCCUACAGCUCAACUGUAGAACUGCCAUUGAUACUGUAGGACUUGAAUUCGAUCGAAGUGGGCGGAAUGUGACAUGUAGCGGUGAAAUGCUUAGAUAUGUCACAGAACACCGAUAGCGAAGGCAGCUCACUAGGUCUGGAUUGACGCUCAGGGACGAAAGCGUGGGGAGCAAACAGGAUUAGAAACCCUAGUAGUCC
rnacentral:rRNA from 1 species